GACGAACGCUGGCGGUGUGCUUAACACAUGCAAGUCGAACGGUAAGGCCCUUUCGGGGGUCCACGAGCGGUGAACGGGGGCGUAACACGUGCGUGACCUGCACUCAUCUCUGGGAUAACAGUAAGAAACGGAAGCUAAUACUGGAUAUGAGCCUGCAAGGCAACUUGAGGGUUGGAAAGAUUUUUUGGGUGUGGAUGGAUUCGAGGGCUAUCAGCUUGUUGGUGAGGCAGUGGGUCACCAAGGCUUCGAAGGGUAGCCGGCCUGCGUAGGCGACCGGCCAUAUUGGGACUGAGGUGCGGCCCAAGCUCCGACGGGAGGCAGAAGUGGGGAAUAUUGAACGAGGGACGGAGGUCGGAUGCAGCAGCUCCGCGGGCGGGAUAACGGCCUUCGUGUUGUAAACCGAUUUCAAUAGUAACUAAGCUUUUUGUGACGGUAGCAGUAGAAGAAGCACCGGCUAACUACGUG
rnacentral:rRNA from 1 species